rnacentral:rRNA from 1 species
CAUGCAAGUCGAGCGGUAGCACAGGGGAGCUUGCUCCCUGGGUGACGAGCGGCGGACGGGUGAGUAAUGUCUGGGAAACUGCCUGAUGGAGGGGGAUAACUACUGGAAACGGUAGCUAAUACCGCAUAACGUCGCAAGACCAAAGAGGGGGACCUUCGGGCCUCUUGCCAUCAGAUGUGCCCAGAUGGGAUUAGCUAGUAGGUGGGGUAAUGGCUCACCUAGGCGACGAUCCCUAGCUGGUCUGAGAGGAUGACCAGCCACACUGGAACUGAGACACGGUCCAGACUCCUACGGGAGGCAGCAGUGGGGAAUAUUGCACAAUGGGCGCAAGCCUGAUGCAGCCAUGCCGCGUGUGUGAAGAAGGCCUUCGGGUUGUAAAGCACUUUCAGCGAGGAGGAAGGUGGUGAACUUAAUACGUUCAUCAAUUGACGUUACUCGCAGAAGAAGCACCGGCUAACUCCGUGCCAGCAGCCGCGGUAAUACGGAGGGUGCAAGCGUUAAUCGGAAUUACUGGGCGUAAAGCGCACGCAGGCGGUUUGUUAAGUCAGAUGUGAAAUCCC